rnacentral:miRNA from 1 species
ACCAUUCCCACAAACGUCUACGACCGCGCGUACAUAUUUUUGCAUGUUUACAAUUCUAAUUUUAAACAGCCAAUCGACGUUUAAUUAUAAUUAUUACCAAGAACCUGAUUGGCUGUUCAUAAUUAGAAUUGUAAACAUGCAAAACUAUGUAGGCGCGGUCGUAGACGUUUGUGGGAGUGGU